ensembl:lncRNA
UUUAGAAUCUCAAUGAUUACUAACUUAUAGCUUACUAACUGCUCUCUCUCCCCCUGCCACUUCUAUUUUACCAUAAUGGUUCCAGGUCCCUAUUUCUUUUUUAUUCAUUAUUAUUUCCAUACAAGCAAAACUGGCAUUGUAUAUAUUUUUAAAUAUUUAUAUAUUCUUGUUUGAUGACAUGGUACUCAUUUCAAUGACAUUUUAUAACAUUGUUAUUUUUGCAAUGGAAAUCCUGAGCAGAACAGCUCAAACCACUAAGGGGACUCCAUGGAAGAAUGCCUGUGUCUAGCAUAUGGAAUUCCUGGCCCAGGGAUAAAUCUGAGCUGCAGCUGCAGCCCACACCGCAGCUGUGGCAAUCCCAGAUCCUUUAGCCUCCUGCGCCAGGCCAGGGACAGAGCCUAUGCCCAGGUGCUGCAGAGACACUACCAAGCCCUUUGCGCUACAGUGGGAAUCCCAGAGCUGGGUUCCUGCAGUGGGAAGACAGCAGAGAUGGAAACUGUUCCUGCCUCACUGCCCACUCCUCCUUGUGCAUCUGCUUCGUCCUAGUCCCUCACUCCUCAGGCAGCGGCACCAAUGGAGAGUUGCUUCUCUCCCUGAUCUCAGUUCCAGGCACCCAGAGAGAUACUAAGUGCAGUUUUCAUUCUAAAGUUCCUGGAGAAGCAUCCUGAAAGGCCCAAGUUUAGUCAGGCAUUCACCCUUGGAACAACUGAUGCUGCGAAGGUCCAGGACCAUGUGACAUGAACCUGGAAUGUCUCAUGGGCACCAUGUGGAGGGAUUAAGAGAUGGGGUCAGUGCCUAGAAAGACGCAUGGAGUCCUGGGCAGCUGUUCUCACUGCAAGCCUCAGUCAGGGACUCUAAGGCAAUGUUAUGUUUUGUGAGCAUGUAGUCUCAGGAGAUGGACAGAACGAGGCUAGAGUAAGACGCAUUUGAGAACCUCUGCAGGCUGCACCUCCUUUUAGAGAGUCAUGGUGCUGGUUAGCAUAUUAAAGGCUCUGAGAAGCCCUGCAAAGAACCCAGCAUAUGCCAAGUCUUGACCACAGGUACCUCAGAACACUGUCUCUCCCAAAUCCUGGAGACCUGCUCUUACAUCAGGUUGAUUCUAACAGUUAUCACUCAUAGCCCCCCUACUCUGGCCCCAAUUUUCUCAUACAGACUCCUUGAAAUCAGCAAGUACAGUCAGUGCCUUCACCUGCCUUUCAGGUUCACACACCUCCUUAAUCAUUUUUGUCCUAUCUAUUUCAUUAUGACAUUGACAUGCCAAUGGGUUCGAGCUUCCCGGCAGUGGGGACAGGAUACAUCAACCAGAUGCUAGCCCUUUUGAUCUGGUCACCGACUGUCCCUGAGCCACCGUGUGUUCACCUCUAAGAGGAUGUCAUAAUACUUACACCCGAAAACAGAAACUGAGUAAAAGCGGCACAAAAUCCAGCAAAGGACCUGGCAAGCACGAAAUCUUCAAGAAGCAGGCGUUUCUUUUCAGUGACCAUAGGCCCCAGAUGUACACGUAUCAUUUAGAACUUCAUUUUGCUGAAUUCAAGGUCAGGGUCUUUAUCCCUUUCUUUUCUUCUUUAUCCCUCUUUCCUUGCUUUCUCUCAUGAAGACCUCUCUCUCUCUUUUCCAUCGCUUCACCUGGUUUACUCUUUUCUUCUCGCUUGCUUUCAUCUUCCUAAGGCAGCGUCCCUUUAAACUGCAAAGCAUCUGUGACAUGAGAAAAAAUGCCCACGGGUGAAGGGUGGGUUUUGAGCACUCUCAGCAGACAUAGGAUGGAGAAUUCAGGAAAGAGAUCAUGAGGCCAGUCGUGGACAGGACUUGAGGUCCUGAGCAUUCUGAAGACUUCUGGAAGGAUUCUCCAGAUGUCAGACAACUAGGAACAUGGAUCUCUGAAUCCCUCUGUUUUCAUAUUCAGAGUCACUCAGAUGCUCAGGACGCUUGGAAUCGCUAAGGCACCUCAGCUAUCAGUUAAUUACUGAAAUUUUCCAACUUUUUCUAUGCAAUAUUUUCCUUCUGUUUCCUCCUCCUCCUCCUCCUUUAGCUUCUUCUUUUUUUCAUUUUUAAGAGGAAUUCACUUCCGAGAUGCUCAUUGUGUCUUAGCUCCUCCGUCAAAAAUUAUUUCAGAAUAUACCACUAGAGUCAUGACAAAAGAUCCAACUUCUCUCUUUUACCCUUUAAAAAUCAUGUGAAAAUUAGCUUAUAGAAAUCUAUAAAAGACCUGCUAUAUGCAAGGCAGCAUGAUUAUAAUUUGGGGAGAUUUUUCUCUGGGUACCUCAAGGUAUUUAGAUACUGACUUGACAUGCAAAAAUAUAUGUGAGAAAGUCCCUGUUUCUGUAGUGCUUAUGUGUUUCUAGUAAAAGAGAAAUUAUAGGAAGACAGUCCCACAGGAAACUGCUUCUAGUAGAGAGACUUAAAAGCACCUGUAAAUAUCAUCUCCAUUCCCUACAACCACAAGAUGCUUACUUUGAAGCCAUCUCCUAAUUACAAACAUUCCACCAUACUGUUCACAACACUCAUUUCUGAGGUGCCCACAUUAAUAUUUGAGACAAUGUUAAGAAACAAAAUGAGUAGAAACAAGAAAUUGUGGUGUAUUUCACAGGAGGCCUGGAUUCCUAGCAUCCUGAGGAGAGGCCAAUCCUACCUUCUCAAAUGUUUACAUUUGUCCUACAGGUGAGCAGGAGUCUAGCAGAUAGCAAAGGGGCAGAAGUGAUAUAGGGAAGGCAGAGAACAAGGGGGCCAAACAGUUCCAUCACUUCUGCUCACCAAGGUUCUGUUCCUCUGAGGUGGAUUUUACUGUUGUUCCUAGACAUGUCCCCACCAUCCUUACGGGUGGAUUGCACAUAUCCUCCACUCCACGGGUGCUGGGUUUGACCAUGUCAUUUGCAAGUCGACCUGAUACGUGUCUCAUCUACACAGAAGAUUUUAUUUAUUUAUUUAUUUUUCCGCUGUACAGCAUGGGGACCGAGUUACACACACAUGUAUACAUACACAUACAUGUAUACAUACUUUUUCCUCCCAUUGUUGUGUUGCGAUAUAAGUAUCCAGACAUAGUUCUCAGGGCUACACAGCAGGAUCUCAUUGUAAAUCCAUUCCAAGAGCAAUAGUGUGCAUUCGUUAACCCCAAGCUCUCGAUCCCUCGCACUCCCUCCCUCUCCCCACGGGCAGCCACAAGUCUAUUCUCCAAGUCUAUGAUUUUCUUUUCUGUGGAAACAUUCUUUUGUGCUGUAUGUUAGAUUCCAGUUAUAAGUGAUAUCAUAUGGUAUUUAUCUUUCUCUCCCUGUCUUAUUUCACUGAGUAUGAGAGUCUCUAGUUCCAUCCAUGUACACAGAAGAUUUUAAAUCCAUUGUAUGCAUUCCUGCAGGCUCUCUUCUGCUCACUUCUCUCUGCCAUGAAGACAGCAAGUCCCUAAGAAGAGCUGCUACUUUAUUCAACUUCCUGGAAGGCAGCAGACCCAACGUAUGAGGAACACACAUGUGUUGUUACAGCCUUUGAGAUGGGGGUGUUGUUUUUAAUGCAGCAAAACUAAAUCAGGGAGUUCCUGUUGUG